GAUGAACGCUGGCGGCGUGCCUAAUACAUGCAAGUCGAGCGAACAGACGAGGAGCUUGCUCCUCUGACGUUAGCGGCGGACGGGUGAGUAACACGUGGAUAACCUACUUAUAAGACUGGGAUAACUUCGGGAAACCGGAGCUAAUACCGGAUAAUAUAUUGAACCGCAUGGUUCAAUAGUGAAAGACGGUUUUGCUGUCACUUAUAGAUGGUUCCGCGUCGCAUUAGCUAGUUGGUAAGGUAACGGCUUACCAAGGCAACGAUGCGUAGCCGACCUGAGAGGGUGAUCAGCCACACUGGAACUGAGACACGGUCCAGACUCCUACGGGAGGCAGCAGUAGGGAAUCUUCCGCAAUGGGCGAAAGCCUGACGGAGCAACGCCGCGUGAGUGAUGAAGGUCUUCGGGUCGUAAAACUCUGUUAUUAGGGAAGAACAGAUGUGUAAGUAACUAUGCACGUCUUGACGGUACCUAAUCAGAAAGCCACGGCUAACUACGUG
rnacentral:rRNA from 1 species